CCAGCCCUGCUGUCUGUGCCAUUCCCCUCCUGACUCCAGAACUGUCCCUACAGCCCCCACCAUGCAGUCUGCCCUCAGUCUGCUUUCCAUCCUCACCCUGCUCAAAGGUGUCCAGGGUGAAGUUCAGUUGGUGGAGUCUGGGGGAGACGUGAGACAGCCUGGCGGGUCUCUGAGCCUCUCCUGUAAAGCCUCCGGAUUCACCUUCAGCAACUACUACAUGUACUGGGUUCGCCAGGCUCCAGGGAAGGGGCUCGAGUGGGUUGCAUACAUAAGUAGCAGUGGGGGCAGCACAGGCUACGCAGACUCUGUGAAAGGCCGGUUCACCAUCUCAAGGGACAACUCCAACAACCUGCUUCUUCUGCAAAUGAGCAGCCUGAAAACAGAGGACACGGCCCUCUAUUACUGUGCGAGUGACACAGUGAGAGAAACCACACCCUGA